CCCCCCCCCCCCCCCCAAACAAAAAACAAAACGCAGUCUUUGUUUACAAGUAAAGUUACAUAAAAAUAGAAAAUAAAAAACUCAUGACAUGUACAACGAUAUCAUAUGUGAAAUCAAAACAAAACAAAACCAGUAUAUCGAGUAUUUUCAUAUGGGGGUUACUUGAUCCGCCUAUCGAAGCAUAAAAUGCGUCAUGAAUAUCUUACAACAGAUGACGUCAUGUCUCAUCGAUAACAUGUGGAUCGCUAUCUAUGAAUUGCUUACAUAAUUUACUGUCGGAUUUAACUCGCGGCAAUGCUGCAUGCUAUGAAAAAGUACAGGAAACCACACUUCUAGUUAGUUUUGAUGUUACCAGUCUUUAUACCAAAAUACCAUAUGACUUGGGACUAGAAGCUGUGAAAGUUUGGAUUGAGAAAUAUCCAAGAGACAUUAGCGAAAGAUUUUCUAAACACUUUAUACUUAAAGCUUUUCAAGUAGCUCCAGAGAAUAACCACUUUCAAUUUGACGAUGAUUUCUAUCUUCGAAUAAAAGGCACAGCUAUUGGUGAUUCCUACCUAUGCAAUCUUAGUAAUGGGUUGCUUGGAAGAAAAGGUACAGAAUAAACUUCCUGAGAUAUUUAUGUAAAUUUUGCACAAUAUAUUCGCCAUGAUUGGAAAAGAUACUUUGAUGAUAUAUUUAUCUUUGGAAUAAAACUACAGAACAGUGAAAUGUUA